GGGGCCUUAGCUCAGCGGGAGAGCAACUGGCUGGCAGCCAGUAGGUCGCGGGUUCAAAUCCCGCAGGCUCCACCA
rnacentral:tRNA from 1 species